rnacentral:tRNA from 1 species
GGCUGGAGAGAUGGCUCAGUGGUUAAGAGCAGUGACUGCUCUUCCAAAGGUCCUGAGUUCAAUUCCCAGCAACCA